CUUGUGCAACCCUUCAAAUCUUCUUUCUUCUUAAACAUAUUGUUGAAGCUAACCAGAUUUGGAGAUCUGCAAAUCGUCGGUGGAAGAGGUGGAGGAAGCCUAUCGGCGGAGGAGGUGGAGGAGGCCGUUAGUGGAGGAGGCCGGUCGGUGGAGGAGGUGGAAGAGGCCGUCGGUGGGGGAGGGUGAAAAUGAAGGAGGUCGGCGGUCUAGGAGGUUAAGGAGGCCGGCCGGUGGAGGAGUUGGAGGAGGCCGUCGGUAGAGGAGGUCGAAAAAUGAAGGAGGCCGUAGGCGGAAGAGGGUGAGGAGGCCUGUCGGUGGAGAAGGCCGUCGGUGGAAAAGGCCGAGUGGUGGAGGAGGGCGUCAAUGGAGGAGGCCAAAAAAUGAAGGAGGUCGUCGAUGGAGU
rnacentral:lncRNA from 1 species